rnacentral:lncRNA from 1 species
UUCUGUUCCAGAUUUCUGGCAUGCCUCUCACAACAAGCAUAUAUACCUGUAGUUAUGCAGGAAUAUUGCUGGGUGAGGAAAGAGAAAUAUUCAAAUGUCAGAGAAAAAACAUCUGGAACAUUUUCAAGGCCUAGAAAGUUUCAUGUGGAAAGAGCGUGAAGCCAUGCCAAGGUGCUGGAAGAGCUACCAGCAGGAAGCCUUCUGCUGUCAGCCUCACAUGGAGAAUAAACUGGCUGAAGAGAGCUGCAUUGUCCAAGGUCAUGCCUCCUUCAUGUGUUGGCCCACUUCAAUGACUGAUGAAUGAGAGCAGGAAAAAGGCACAGCUCUCUCCACUCCCAAGGGUCAUCCCAGCUUCAAAACUCCCCAUAGUAACUGGCUGAAGACUCUAUUGAGACUGCAUUGCAGAUAGAGUUUUCCCUGUGCUUAAUCUUAUUUCCUUCAAUUGCUGAGAAAGAGAUGUUAACAUCUCCCAACUAUGAUUGUGAGUUGAGCAAAAAAAGACAAACAAAAUAGAGUAACUACUCUAUUAUUUCAUUUAUAUGGAAGUCAAGAACAGGUAAAAACUAACCUAUGAUGAUGGAAGUCAGAAUAGUGUGUGUGUGUGUGUGUGUGUGUGUGUGUGUGUGUGUGUGUGUAAGGAAAGUGGUUAUUGAUUGGGAAGGGGCACAGAAGAAUCUUCUGGUUGAUGGAAUGGUCUGCAACUUGAUCUGGUAGUGGUUACAUGGUGAACAUCUAUGUAAAAACACCAAGCUACAUAUUUAAAUUUGUGCAACUGAAUAUAUCUAAGUUACAUCUACAUUUAACAAAUCGUGCUUUAAAAGGUAAGCCAAGCUCAUCUGAAUCCCUGUUGAGUCCUUUGCCAGAUGCAUCACCUUUUGGAAGCCAUUUAUCUCUAGGCUUCAGUUUUCUCAAUUCCAAAAUGAGGGAUUGGACUGGAUAUUUGAGUUACAUGCCAUGCGUCUAUCAAAACAGCUCUUUAAAGUAUUUUUGCAAAUUGAAGAAAAAAAACAAAGGGCAGCUCGCAAAAGAAAAACAAAUGGUUUCAGAGACAUGUUAAAAAAAACAAAAAGAGAGCAUUUUACAUCUAUAUUUUAUAUAU